rnacentral:lncRNA from 1 species
CGUCCAGGGAGCGUGUUUCUUUAAUGCUUUGCAAAUGCCUUUGAAUUCUGCAAGGAAAGGACGUUUCCGGAAGGUUGUUAGAAAAUUCAAUGAAUGCAAAAAAUGAGCAUCUAGCAAGCUGCCCGACUCUGUUAUUCAGGAAGCCUAUUUGAGUGACUUUCAACUGACCGAAAGCCACGCAGGAAUCUUGUGGGGGGAGAAUGUCAGACACGCUGGUCCAUGAGGAAGGCAGAGCAGCGACCCAGGCCGGGCCUGGGGGCCAAGCCACCGAGAAGAGGAAACCCAGCCCCGAGGUUGUCCAGGACACGACGAGCAGAAGUCAGCACGACAAGGAUCAGCUCGUCUGCGGCUUCUCAGGGGUGGACGCCCACAGCCUGGGGAAGACAACGGGGGCGGAGGGUCCACGGGCUGCCGGAAUGCCGAGAAGGGAGGUGAAGCAUUUCUGCCAGCGCCCGAGGGGGCUGGGGGACCACGGCCGAGCCCCUGGCAUCGCGGGCAUGUGCCCCGCCCGCAGCUGGAAGGCAGGCCCGCCCAGCCAUGGCCCAACGGGUAGGCGGAAUCAGCACGUGGACGGGCUCUCUGAGGCCAGAAUUUGGAAUGCCACAAGUAGCAAACAGUUAAGUGAUCAACUGGUCACCCCUUUCCAAAAGACCCAGAACUAAUGGGGCCAUAAAACGUGUAAAGUAUCUGCCCCCGGCCAGACCAGACAUGACAGCUAGGGAGCGGACACUUCUGGGGCUCCCUCUCCAUCACCUCGUUCUAGAAGGCAGGCCCGUGGGGAGACAUCCCUGCUGGAAAAUUUUCCCUCCGCGCGUCAUAAUCUGGAAAAGAUUCCCACGCCUCCCGUCACUGGCCAGGCCCCUCGCUCCCCUUGUGGCCAGCACGGAGGGGACAUGUAUUCUUUCCCAAGUUGCAGAUCUGGGGAGAAAGUCUGGAGUUUUUUAAACAGAGCAUGUCUUUACCCCUUGAAGGAAGACGGAAGGAGCCAGAGCCUGGAGCACUGGGUCAUCGUCCCCGCCGUCCAGCCUGACACCUGGGAACGCGCUUUCUGCCCGAGUUGCUGACUUGUGCCAAUUUAUAUGCUAAUUCCAGAAAUGAUUCUUCCCACAUUAAAUAAAAGCUGAGGAAUGUUCCAAAGGUCUGAACAGAUUGUACCAUUAACAGACAGGGGAAGCUGAGCCGUGCUGCCCACAGGAGUCCCGGGCGUGUGAACCGGCCCCCAGCACACGCACUCCCCCCAUUACAGGCCCACGUGCUCCUUCAGCUGACUCGGCCAAACGAAACUGCUUCGGCAUCUAAAGCCUCCGAGGGCCCAUCUCGACCUUGAGGUCCCUUCCAGAGUCACCUUUUGGGAAAGUAAAGAGUGCCAAACAGAAUUGGAGGGGUCCGUGGUGAGCCCGUGCCCCCAAAGUGAUCAACUGCCCCCAAGGACGUCAGUGUCAUCGGAUCACUGCCCUGAUCCGAGGCCUAGGCCCCUGGCCUCCUGGACAGCCUCCUCACACCCUCCUCCAACCCCCGACACACACACACACACACACACACUGAGUUUCUUUUCUCCCCAACUCACCAAGACCUUCCUGCCUCAGAGGCUUUGUACCUUCUGUUCCGCCUGCCAGGAUAGCUCUUCUCCACUCUCUUGACCAGGUUACCCCAACUCCUCGCAGCUCAGAGAAGCCCUCCCGACCUGCACAGGAGGUGAGGCCCCGGUCACACACCCUGUAGGAUGCUGCGUCUUCCUUCCUGGUGCUCCUCACAGCUCUCGUGGGAUUAUUACUUGUGUGAUAUUAUUCUGCAUCUGCAGCUAUCAUUCACUGGUGAGAGCAGGGACCAGGUUUACCCUGUAUCCCCAGGGUCUAGAAGGAUGCUUGCCAGAGGAUGUAGAGAAAGAGAGGGAGGGAGGGAGGAAAAGAGGGAGGAAUGGAUGGAUAGAUGGAAGGAUGGGUGGGUGGGUGAAUAGGUGAUGGAAGGAAGGAAGGAAGGAUAGAUGGUUGGAUGGAUGGAUGAUUGGAUGUUUGAAUGGAUGGAUAUUUGGGUGGAUGAAUGGGUGGAUGGAUGGAUGAUGGGUGGAUGGAUGCUGGGUGGAUGACCAGAUAGAUGGAGAGGGAGAGGAAAGAAGGGAGUGAGAGAGGGAGGAUGGGAGUUUGGAUGGAUGGAUGGAUGGAUGGAUGAUGGCUGGAUGGAUGAUGGAUGGAUGGGUAUGGAUGGAUGGAUGGAUGGAUGGAUGGAUGGAUGGAUGAUGGAUGGAUGGAUGGAUGGAUGAUGGAUAGAUGGAUGGAUGGAUGAUGGAUGGAUGGAUGGAUGAUUGAUGGCUGGAUGGGUAGAUGGAUGGUUGGAUGGAUGGAUGAUGGAUGGAUGAUGGAUGGAUGGAUGGAUGGAUGAUGGCUGGAUGGGUAGAUGGAUGGUUGGAUGGUUGGAUGGAUGGAGGAUGGAUGGAUGGAUGGAUGGAUGGAUGGAUGAUGGACGGAUGGAUGGAUGAUGGCUGGAUGGAUGAUGGCUAGAUGGGAUGAUGGAUGGAUG